UUUUCCCGCGUGUUCAUCUUCUCGGCGCAAAUCACAACAAUUACUUCCACUCCGUUACUGCAAGAAUCUCUCCUUCCACUUCCAGACUCCAGCGGAACCUAUCUCCUCUCCGGCGGAAUGGAAGGCGGCGGGGGCAAUUUCUCAGGCGGCGGAACCAAAAACCUAACAGAGACAUGGGUGAACGGUACCGUCGGCGAUGAAGAAGACCCUUGGAAUCCGUUAUUGAGAGGCAAGCAUUUCGACGUCGAAUCGUAUUCAAACAACUAGUAUGACCGAUUCAAGGUCAGCCACCUCCUAUCUGUCGCCGAUCGCUGCGGCGGCGGCGACGAUGAACGGCGGCGGACGAUGCAACUGGAGGCGCUUCGGUUGGCCUACGACGAGGUUAAAUUGGGACGUGAAGUGGAGCUGUUCACCAAGAUUGUUGAGAUGAUUUCAGGGAGAUUGGGCCCUAAUUACGAGAUCGAUGAAGAUUGGUGCCGUUCGGUGAAUCAAUUUGUGGAGGAGAAGGAGAAUUUUGCGAAGAAAUAGGAGGUAUGAAUUUGUGAAUCAGUUAAUCGAAGUAUUUUCUGUUCUUGAUCGAAAUCGAAAUCGAAAUGUUCCUAAUUAGGAAGAUCACCCGAUUCAUACGCGUUCUACAAAGAGAGUAAGAAAUUCAUACAUCACCAUUGGAGAUUUCUAUUUCACCCACGGCGAAUUUCCAAAAGCUCUUGAAUAUUAUUGGAGAUCCCAAUUUUUCUGCACCAGCCCAAACACGAACGCUGAGACAUUUUUGCAUAUCAUUCACACCUCGCUUGAGACGGGCCACUUAUCUCUGGUCAUAGCACUCGCUGAAAAGGCUUUAGAAAUAUGUAAGUCUCUUGACAAUGUCGGUAUUGCACAAGUGCGCUGCACUGCGGGGAUUGGCUUUCUUGAAGACCCAACGCUUUAGAGAUGCUGCUCUUCAGUUCUUGGGAAUAAGUAGAGAGUUUGCAUACCAUUUUUUUUGGAGUGAUGAGUGCUCAUGAUAUUGCAGUCUAUGGCGGGCUAUGUGCACUUGCAACUUUGGAACGAACAGAGUUGAAGGCAACAAUUCUUUUCUAUCUACUUUUCCUUAUUCUCCAAAAAUAAUUUAUAGUCUUGUACAAAUUUCUGAGUAAAGGUUUUUUACAUCGGCAGAGUUUAGUUAUGGAAAGUGAUGAUUUCCAGUCCUAUUUGGAUUCAGCCAUUGGAGUCAGGGAGCUCAUAUGUGAUUUCUAUUCAAGGCAGUGAACAUUAUUUAUUCAUCUUUACUCAAUGAAUGAAUUGAAUGCUUAAAAAGUGGUUUGGUAGGUUUUUGUUUUUA